rnacentral:misc_RNA from 1 species
GCAGAAGUCAUAAUGAAGAGCCUUUUAAGUGUUGUUUCGGAUCCGAGCCCUUUGGUACGAGCUGAGGUUGCUGUUGCCUUGGCUCGUUUUGCCUUUGGGCAUAAGGUGCACCUGAAGUCGCUUGCAGCUGCAUAUUUGAAGAAUCAAUCUAAUUCCAUGCCGACUUCCUUGCCUUCUUCUACGGUCCAGAGUUCAGGUGACAGUCCGUCUAUCUCUCACGAUGGUAGGGUCUCGACUAGCAGCCCUGUUGCAACACCGGGCUUCAUGCAUGGAUCUCCUUUGCCUGAUGGUUCUUCUCAUCAUUCUGAUUCUGGAAGACUGGGUGAUGCUGUUAGCGAUGGUGUUGUUAAUCAUAUAAGACCCAGACCACUUGAAAAUUCACUCUAUACUAAGUCUGUGCAGGCCAUGUUUGCCCUGGCAAAGGAUCCAUCACCUCGCGUUGCAGGUCUUGGAUGUAGACUGCUUUCAAUUAUUGGGAUUGACCAAGUGUUCACCAAGUCAGUCGAGUCUACUGUUGAAUCCACA